ACAGGCAUGUGCCACCACACCAGCUAGUUUUUUGUUUUUUUUUUUUUGCAGAGACAGGGUUUCACCAUGUUGACCAGGCUGGUCUAAAAUUUCUGACCUCAAGUGAUCUGCCCACUUUGACCUCCCAAACUGGGAUUACAGGCAUGAACCACUGCACCCAGCCCCUUCAGUUCUGAAGGCCAGAAUUCUAAAGUCAGUCCCACUGACUCAAGGUGGGAGCAGGGCAGGCACCUUCCCAGGCUCUGUAGGAGAAUGAGUUUCCUGGCCCCAGAGGCUUCCUGCAGUCCUCAGCUUGUGCUGCCCUUCUUGAAUGACUCGAGGUUCCUGCUUCCAACACUACACUUCCCGUUGCUCUCCAUCACCUGCUCUGUUCUGAUAAGGAUCUGGGCUGGCUGCAGUCUUCAUUCCCUGCAACAUUUGUCUCCUGGGUUCAAGUGAUUCUUCUACCUCAACAUCCUGAACAGCUGGUACUACAGAGAAAUACAGUGAUGGUAUCACCGAUCUACAUAAACACAUUGAAGAACUAUCCAAAAGAAAAUAUGGGAUGUUGAAGAACUGUCUGAAAGAAAAUAUGGUAUGUCUAAACUGGAAAAAUCCUGUCAUGCUUUGUUCAUGAGAGUUUACACAAUGGAGUCAGUGUUCAUCUUGUAGUGUCUGUCCAAGUAUUAGGAACAUUCUAUCUUUCUAGGUUACUGCAAAGCUAAGGAAAAGUUGUAUCUCUUAAAUUAUCAGUCAGCAUUUCUUUUAAACUUUCAGCAUGGAUAUUGGGGAUUCAUUUACAUAUUUAUUGCAA
rnacentral:lncRNA from 13 species